UUUAGGACUUCAUCAACAAAUCAGGAGAUCUUCAAACAUCUGCAUCACAGAACUAAAGGACAAGACAUUUCAGCGAAGUUCAGCAUCUUUACCCGUAAGGCACAAAAUGGAUCCGGCACACCAAGUGCCUAAAACUAAUGUAAAGAUUGUGAAAGACGAAAGGUUCACAUAAAGGGGUAGAGAGGUCAGAACAGCAGCAACAUGAAUGGACCAAACUAAAAAUAAAAAUCAUAAAAAGACUAUUGUUUUAUGUUUGGUUCAUUGUAAUUAUGAGAUUUUCUUGCAGAAAAUUCAUUUUACUUAGGUGCUCUGCAGCUUUACUGAUUCAAAAUCAAAAUAAUGGGUUCUGUGCUAAACUUUUAAAACAUUUCAAACUAUAUUAGCAACAGACCCUAAACUUUAUGAGGACUCUGCGUUUUUAUUAAAAAAACACAAGCUUUGGAGUUUCCAAAGCCGGUUCUUGAGGUCUACCUCUGUUUUUACACAAUUCCCUGUAUGAGAUCAUGAGAUUACAGGUUCUAAUGCAUGGAUUUUCCAGGUUGUUAGUAGCGCGUGUGACCUGCAGGGCUGCUGCAGGGUUUUAGGUUUUCCGGUCCGUGGAGUGUCGUACAGAGGAGCGGCCGGAUCUUAAGGGGUGCGUAGGUGUGUCUUGCAGUACCCUAGAGGUUUCACGGCUAUCUCAAGGGAACAUCCUGAAGAUGGAACACUUGUCAUGUGUGUGGGAAGUGUAUCAUGAAGUAUUCGCAAGGAUCGAAGAAGUACACACUGGGUGAUGAUGUCGUAUGGUUCCCUUAUACCACGAUCUCGCCGUUAGGUGAAUGCUGCAUGCAGAUAAGUGGCCGUAGGACGUCCACAAAAACUACACGCUGAUCAAAUCAUUUCUAACAGUCAGGCUGCACGCAAGGAGCACACACUUAUCACUUGAACAGCACUAACGGGCUCCUUGCGCUGUGCGCAGGUUUCAGGGAUUGAAAAAAUGUUGUACAACACACCUGUGCUUUACCCUUACGCAUGGUAUGAGUGUUGACCGCGACCUGUCAUCUGCAUCAUGCCUGUUGAAACAAGUAUGCAUGGACAUUUUUCUUCUAAAGACUCCCUGAACGGACUACGAUCCUUACAUUUGCUGUUGCGUAUAGGUUUGCCCAUUUUUCACCCACGGACAGCCCCUAUCCACCCCAGGAACCACUGCAGUGGUUUGACAACCACAAUAAGAGGAACUUGACACCUGUCCCUCAUUUCUAUGCCGUUUCAGUUUUUCCUUCACCUCCUCUGUGGCCUUGUCAUCUUCCAUUCGCUGCCUCUGAGUUUUGAGUUUUUCUGCAUCCAUCUCUGUGCAUCACAAUCUGCUGAACUCAAAUCUGUAUGUGGGUGAGCACAGCCUCUCCAGCCUUUUUGAAUGAUGUCCCUCCAAUCAUCCACAUCCUUCUCCACACAAGCAUGUGUGUCAUGCGUGAGAAUGUGGGUCACCUAUGGAGGAGGAUACCAUGGCUCCUGUGGCCAGCUUCAUGCAAACACGCACGCGCAGGUACACACGCAGCGCACACAAGGUGGACCUCAAAAGGACGGCGACGAAUUUGACAUCAACAUAAGGGUUCUCUUUUAGGUCCCACUCUACCACAGCCGCCCCCUAUAUGUUCGAAGAUGAGUGGCACGUGCAAAACCUGCCCCGUCGCCUCCAGCCAACCCACCCCUCCCAUUUCACGAUCGACGCAUGCACGGAAUACCGGGGCAUGCCCAGGCGACGCGCGCAGCUGCCAGCGCCAGAGAGACCCUACAGUUUGUUUGGCGCAGCCGCCGUCGCGUGAGACAGGCCGCGUGCGUGCGUUCGAGCGCCAUGCCAGCCGUGCUGUGACCCGAUAAGUACAACAAUCUGUGCGAGCUCAGAGGAUCAUAACCCGAAAUGGAGCCCUCCGUCACCUACAGCUUUAAACACAUGAAAUAUAGCAGCGACGCAGUCGCACCGUGGCGAGGCAGCGUGCGCGCGGCGCGCCGUAAACUCCAUUUUGUCUCUCAUUUGACACUUUGAGGGGGGAAGACCUUUAAGGAGACCCCCCCCCCUCCCAUUUCUGACUCCAGGCCCGAUUUGAAAAAACAAAAACAAAACCUUCCUACAAAUGUUGAGCCUCCCCCCGUCUGCGAAUGUUAGGGUCAGUUCAUGAUCAAACUGAAGCUGCGCAUUCGGCCUGGCAAACUUGCACCUGCUCUGAUCAAACCAAUCGAUGAUCUGCUUUCGGGCUCGCGCUGGAUUAGAGGAAGAAAAAAAAGUAGGCCAGCGUGAAAGCGGACCCCCGCAGCAGGUUGACGUGCAGACAUAAACACACAAAACUACUGAAAGGUGGAAAAUAAUGCGCGAGUGUUCUUGUGAGUGAGAAGUCCAUGACAGCACACUCCAACCCCCCUCCUUCCAGUGUCUCUCCCCUUCUCUUCAUCGAUGAAAAACAUGCACCAUCAUCUCGUGACAACAUCCGCAUCCCCAGCAUCCCCUCAGCGCACCGUGGCUGGACCACGCGCGA